rnacentral:rRNA from 1 species
UACAGAGGUCUCAAGCGUUGUUCGGAUUCAUUGGGCGUAAAGAGCUCGUAGGCGGCUCGGUAAGUCAGGUGUCAAAUCCUCAGGCUCAACCUGGGGCUCCACCUGAUACUGCUGUGGCUAGAGUCCGGUAGGGGAGCGUGGAAUUCCUGGUGUAGCGGUGAAAUGCGCAGAUAUCAGGAGGAACACCGAUGGCGAAGGCAGGUCUCUGGGCAUUAACUGACGCUGAGGAGCGAAAGCAUGGGGAGCGAACAGG